UUCGGUGGCGUUGCCGCAGAGGGUACACCCGUUCCCAUUCCGAACACGGAAGUUAAGCUCUGCAGGGCCGAUGGUACUUGGGGGUUGACCCCUGGGAGAGUAGGUCGCUGCCGAAA
rnacentral:rRNA from 1 species